CCCUUAGAUGUUCUGGGCAGCACGCGCGCUACAAUGGUCUUCGCAAACGGAUGCAUUCUCGAAGGAGAAUGCCAAUCUUGGAAUCUAUGCCUUGGUCGGGACAGUUGCUUGCAAUUUUUCGACUCGAACCAGGAAUUCCUUGUAAUCGUGAUUCAUCACAUCACGAUGAAUACGUCCCUGCCCUUUGUACACACCGCCCGUCGCUCCUACCGAUCGAAGAGUUAGGUGAAUUGUUUUGAUUGAUAAGAUUUGACUAUGGUCAACUCUCGUUGUGAAAUUCUGUGAAUCUGACUGUUUAGAGGAAGGAAAAGUCGUAACA
rnacentral:rRNA from 1 species